UGGGGAAUCUUGCACAAUGGGGGAAACCCUGAUGCAGCGACGCCGUGUGAGCGAUGAAGGCCUUCGGGUUGUAAAGCUCUUUCGCCUGGGAACAAGAGAAGCCGGCUAAUAUCCGGCAGAUUUGAGGGGACCAGGUAAAGAAGCACCGGCUAACUCCGUGCCAGCAGCUGCGGUAAUACGGAGGGUGCAAGCAUUAAUCGGAUUUAUUGGGCGUAAAGGGCGCGUAGGCGGAAUGGGAAGUCAGAUGUG
rnacentral:rRNA from 1 species